CAUUUUUUUUUCCUUAAUCAAAAUUUAAUUCAAUAAUUUAAUUAUUUAAAAGUAGUACUGUAUUUUAAACUUUUGAAGCUCAAAAUUAGAGAAUCUCACCAUUGGUGAUGCUCUUACAUUUGUCAAGCUUUGCAAACUUAUAAGUGGGUCGCGUAUAUUGUCAUUCUCUUGCGAUAUGCUUCUCACAAAUUCUUCGAUCAAGCCUUAUAUAUAUAUCCUAAGUCGUAUAUGAUUUGUGUAAUUAUCAUAUGUAAUUAAUCUCCUUCUCCAAGCUCCAAUCAUCUUGACCAGAGAGUAUAUAUUUAUGUUUAAUUAAGUUUAGUAUACAGUAUUUUGUUUUUCAGCAUCCUUUUGAUGCGCUGGUUAAUAAACUUUACAUAUAAUUCAUUUAUUUACUCACCUACUUAUAUAUGUACUACAAUUUUUUUUUUUGUUAAUAACAAUAUUUCUUUCUUUGAAAAAAAAUAAAAACAAUAUUUCUUUUAUGGGUCAAAUUACACAUGUCGUCGUACAGUCACCACUUUUUUAAAAAAAUGGUUGUUGAACUUCAAUAAAGUAUUAAAUUAACAAAUGAUAACAACACAUAUUUGAUAAGAGAAGCAAACCUCUAGGCUCUUUUUGUUUUCCGCAGAACACCAUCAUCAUUGAAAUUUAAACACAAGAGAAAAUGGAAGAACAACAAAUCUGAAUACCAACAACUUGGUGUGGAAACACAACAUCAUCAUCAUCCAGGUAUCAAUCAUUCUUUUAUUCUUUUUGUUUCUUUUUUUUUGCGUAAAUAGAGAUAAUCUCUACAAAAAAAAAUUUCAUUGUCUUACCAAAAAGAUCUUGAUCUUGUAGACUUGUGUUGAUCUUGGCCUCUUUGGGUAUAAACUAGCUCAUAUUUCAAAAAAAAAAAUGAUUUGGGGGAAUCAUAUAAUGGAAACGUCAAGAGAGUUUCUUAAUAUAUAGGUUUGACCAUCAUCUUUUUAGUUUCAAAUUUCAAGUAUGUUUUCGUUCGGGUUCUUCUUCCUAAAUUAUAUAUUGUCUAAUUAUGAUGUUCUUGAUUCCUUGUCCUGAAUUCAAACAUCUAAACAUAUAUGAAAAUGAUCAGAUCAUAAAGCUCAAGACCAGAUUCAUCAUCAUCAAUUUUUCUUUUAUUUUUUGUGAAUCCAAUGAUAAUUUCUUUUCUGUUAUAUUGAUAAUCCGAACGGAUCAUUGGUUCAAAAUGAUUAAGAUCGGGGAGCCUGAAACUUUUUUUCUCUAUUGUUUCUGGUUAUUUUAGCAGAUCACAAUAAAACUAUUCGAUAUUACCAAAAGAGUUAUUGAUAAAAUAUGUUGGCAUUCGUGAAAUGCUUCUCGUUGAAGCGAACAAAGCAUCCUCGUGGAUAUGAGGAUCCUCAUGUUCUUGCAUCCGAAACUCCCUGUAAGUCAAACAAUAAAAAUAUAACCUCACAAAUUUUCUUAAAUUAAAAUUAACUCUAAUUAAGAAAAAAGAUUAAGAAGAUAUUAUAAUAGAGAGACGACGACAUGUACACAUAUAAGUAUAUAACAAUAACGAUUAACGAGUAUGAGCUGUAAUAGCUAUAUGCAUUUUUUUAUGAAUAGCAAUAUAUGAUUGAUCUAUGCUAUAUGCAGUUACGGUGAAUGAGAUAGAGGCUUUACACAAUCUGUUCAAGAAGCUAAGUACAUCCAUUAUCAACGAUGGUCUUAUCCAUAAGGUAAACAUUUUUUUAGGGCUUUUUCUUUGUUUUAUUUUUAUAAUAUAUAAAAAACAAAAUUCACAUUUUUGGGUUUUAAAUUUAUAUUUAAACGAACUAAUAUAUGUGAUGAGCAGGAAGAGUUUCUUCUGGCUUUGUUCAGAAACAGCAGUAUGCAAAAUCUAUUUGCAGACAGGGUUCGUAUCCAUACUUGCAUCGUUAACUCUAUUUUUCAAUGUAUAUGAAUGACGACAAGAGUAUUGAAGAAAGGUUUGGUGCAGGUGUUUUAUAUGUUUGAUAGGAAACGAAACGGUGUGAUUGAGUUUGGAGAAUUUGUUCGUUCCCUUAGCAUCUUCCAUCCAUACACUCCCGAACAUGAAAAGUCCGCAUGUACGUUACUUACCUACAUAUAUGUAUAAACACUUUAGGAUCAUGAAAAUUAAUAUACGUAUGUACGAAUAAACUCCAAGAGAGUAAUCUAAAUCGUUUACAACUAAUAUAUCACAUAUGGUUUUUUUUUUUACUGAAUAGAUUACGUAUGUUGUAAAAUGUUGUAGUUAUGUUCAAGCUUUUUGACCUCCACGGAACCGGCUUCAUCGAGCCCCAUGAGGUACUGAUAAAAUGCUAUAUAGAUUAUAGAUCUCAUCAAUCGGUAAUAUGCAUGUGUAUAUAAAAUUGAUGUAAAAAUGCAUAUAUAUAUAUAUAUAUAUAUGUGUGUGUGUGUGUGUGUAUGUGUUCAUUAAACCAAAAAAGAUAUGUAUGUGUUUGUGCAUGCAUGCAUACAUGCAUAAACGUUUUUGAUGUGUAAUAUGAUGGGUUUGGUAAAAAAAUAGCUGAAGAAGAUGGUGGGCGCACUAUUAGGUGAAACAGACUUAGAGCUAUCGGAAGAAGCUAUUGAAGCUAUCGUGGAACAGGUUCAUGCAUACCUAAUUUUAAUCUAUCUUUCUCUUAUAUAUGUGAAAUUCCUAUUUAAUAUAUCAUUUGUUAGUAAACUGAUUGGAUUUUUACAAACAGACGAUGAUUGAGGUUGAUACAAACAAAGAUGGGAAGAUUGAUGAAGAAGAGUGGAAAGAUCUCGUAGCGAAGAAUCCUUCAAUCCUCAAGAACAUGACUCUGCCUUACCUCAAGUAUGACUAUUUUUUGUUCACUUUUUUUUUAUUUAUUUUAUUUGGGGAAAAGGCAUAUUAUAUAUGUGAAUUGACUCUUUCUUAUAUUUGUUGAUCAUCACACUCUUACAUGUAUCGUCGCUAUUUGAAUGAUUUGGUGGUAUAGGGAAGUGACAUUAGCAUUUCCAAGCUUUGUACUGGACUCCGAAGUAGAAGACUAAGAGAGAGCAUGGAGCAUCGAGGAUGCCUUGGGGGGGAAAAAAAGUCUGAAAGCAAUGAUUCUUACAAAAUUUUAUUAUGUAUGUUUCAUGUCCGCGGUUUUAAUUAAUUAGUUACUUACUGUUGAUGAUAUAUAAUGAUUCAAUUCCAAGGGAAUUUUACAAACAAUCUUCUUCGAUUAAUAAAUCUUUUAAAGGUUUUUUCAAUUGUAGCCCUCUCUUAAGUAUUUGGUCCGAUACACUUUUUUAAUCGCGAUCGAAUGAGAUCAGAAGGUGGCAAAGUAACGGUCACUGGGGGAGAUAAGAGUAUGAGAGAGCAACGGCUAGAGAGAGAGUCAGAGAGAGGAGCCACAACUACAACAACAGCGUCGGGUCGGGUCCCCACACGUGUGUCCGCGGCCAAGUUUUGAUUUUGAAUUAUUUAAAUUUGUAUGUCUUAUUCAUUCAUGUAAACAAAUUAAAUACCAUAAUCGUGAUGACAUUAACGUAUACUUACCACUUUUUCACAAACAAAAUAAAAAUAAUAAAUACAUAUGUCAGCAGCUCUUAUUAUUAUUAUUAUUUGUAUAUGUCAGGAGGUUAAAGCCACCGGCCAUCAGGGGCGGACCCACAGAUAAGGUGGUGGGGCAGCUGCCACCAGAAAAAAAAAAAAAAAAAAAUUAUUAAAAAAAUUAUUAAAUAUUAUUAAAAACAAAAUCUGUUCUCACUAAAAAAAAUUACUUUUCAGCAUUUUUUUGGAAAGCACAUUAAUCCAUGUACCAAAAAAAUAUAUAUUAAUAUAUAAAUUAAAAACUUACUAAUCUAGACCUAAUUUUUUGUUAUUUUCUUCUUUUUUAGUCAUUUGGUUUCUUUGUGUGACAACAAAUCAACAACUAUCAAUUUGUGAGUUUAUUUUUCGGCUUUUUUACAAUCGUUUCUAUUAUAUAAGCAUUAUUUUUUGUCAGUUAGUUUUAUUUAAGAGGGAAUUUCAAAAAUACCCCUUUUCAUAUACCUCUUUUUAAAAAUACCCCCUUUUCAAACUUUAUCAAAAAUCCCAUUAAAAAUGUUGAAAUUUAUCCAAAUAUGUGUGUAAUCUUAUAAAUAUAUACACAAAUUACCUUUAUAUGUGUCGAAAACUUUAUACACUUUUCAUAAAUAGCGUAAAAAUAAAUUAUAAAAACCGUAUAAACCCUUUUAAAAACCUUUUAAAAACCUUAUAAAACUUAUAAAAAUGAUUUAAAACUAUUUAAAACAUUUUAAAAUAUUUGUAUCGAAUCUCCCAGUAGUAGUUAUUAUAUAGAAGUACCUUAUAAACUAUAUAAAACUUUAUAAUUUUUUUAUAUUUAAAAAGGGGUAUUUUUGAAAAUGGAUAGAUAAAGGGGGUAUUUUUAAAAAGGGGUACACCAAAAGGGGUAUUUCUCAAAAAUUCUCUUUAUUUAAUCAGUUCAAGCUUAUAACUAUGUUUCUUGGAAAACAUUAUAUAGGUUUUUAUGUUAUACAUGACUAUAUUAGUUUUUGGAGUGAUAAUUUUUUAUAUGUUUAUUCUAUGGUUAAGCUUUUAUGGAAGUUUGUUACAUAAUUCAAAAUUUUAAAAUUAAUAAAUUUUACAAUAUAAGUCUAUAAAUUCAAAAUUUUCUAAAUUUUUAAUUAAUAACAUGUUUUUUUGUUUUUAAUUAUUUGAAUCUGUCACAAAUGAAAAUGUGGUAAAAAGGUUUCAAUUGUUAAAUGAGCGUCUGAGUGGUUUUCUAAGAUAUUUUAAAGUUUUUACAUGACAAUUUUAUGUCUUUUAUAAUUUAGUAUUUGAUAGUUUUUUACUAUAUUUUUGCCCCCAUUGAACAAAUUUUCUAGAUUCGCCCCUGCCGGCCAUACUAGACAUUUUCAACAACAACUAGAACUCAUUUAUAUUAAUAUACGGAAGCUUUAAUUAGCUUAUUAAUUAGAUGCUGCUAUUUUGGUUUUUAUACAAAUCGAAUUUUUACAUUUCUUAAUGUAGAUGUAGAUUAACUGGUUAAACCGAAUUGGUGGUCAUGUCAGACUCGAAUGUGGACACAAACCGAUCUAAUUUUUAUUUUAUGGAUAAGAUGAUCUGAUCGAUUAAGUAACAAAGGAUAGAUACAUGCAUGAACUGCUCUUCGAUCGAAUCUAUCGUCGAAAGAAAUUAAAGUAACCUCUUCUAUAUCUUUUUUUAAGUGUUUUUAUGUUUUGAUGACUCAUCUUUCCUUUGUACCUUCUUUUUUUAUUUGUUGGUACAUUACAUUUUUAUUGUAAUUUUGUAACGUUCACCAUUUUUUUAAUUGAAAUUACAUAUAAAACUAUUUUUAAAAAAUUCUUUGUCAUCCACGGUUAUAUUUCAUAUAGAAUUAUUAUAAUAUCAUUAUGUUAUCGCAUGGUGAAUAAAAUAAAAUAAUGCAAAGCUGUAAAUUUAAAAGUUCACUCAAAAACAAAUACAACAUAACGUUUCUUGAAUGGUAAUAAUACAAAACUACAUUUACAGUAUUUUGAUUUAAUAUGAUAAACAGGAGGAGGGUUCGACGAACCUAGCGCUUAUUACAUGACUCAUCAUUGGUACAAAGUACAAACUCACUCAUAAAAUGUAUUUAGAUAUUUCAUUUUAAAUUAUACUACUACUUAUUAAGUAGUGGAGUAUUCUAUAAAACUAUAUAAUAGGCAAUGAUGAUUUAAGCUUUUGAGACAUUGUUAUUAGUAAUUUUUUUAUAUUUAUUUUUGGGUUAGAAGAAAGAGGAGGACCCAUCCAUGUGCAACGGCAAUAAUCUCGGUUUUUUCAUUCAGACCCAACUUCUUCAAGUUUCCCUAACUAAAAAAAAAGUUUUACAAAUGUUAUGAUUAAUUAAGUUGGUCUCUAAUAUAAAUCCCAUCUAUUAGAAAAAGAGAAAAUGAUUAAGGUUUUAGUUUUUUUUAUUUGGUUUCCUUACAAAGAAUCACACGUGGCGAGAUCUCAUUGCACGAAUGACUCAUGAUACCAUCGUUAGCCUGCAAAGCCAAAAGCCACGUUAAUAAUAUCCCCCGUUAAAUUUGAUGACGGAACGGCAACAUCACCACACUCCGUUAAUCAGACAACAAUGGGUGCAUUAAUAAUAAUAAUUUUCUAAAAAAUUAAUAUUAAUAUUAUAUUUCAUCUGUUAGUGGAGUAAUUGUAAAUGGCACUUGUCACUUCCACACAUAUCUCUUAUUCAAUAUUUGCGCGUGAACUGGAUUUUGAGAAAUUAAAUGUAAAACGAUUUGAGUUUAAAUUUAAAAGUAAAUUUAAAAGGCAGUAAUACAUUUAUUCGAACUUUCGAAGGCAGAUUUAAAAGAAAGAAAGUAAACAACGGUCGUGAAUGUGAAUGUGGAAACUUAACGGCGUUAAGUGAGAGUGAUAUACAAAAAAAUCCGAAAAAGGCUAAGGAGCGCGUCUAUUUAAAGAAAUUGCUUCUUCUUCUCUCUCUCUCUCUUAAAGAUCCUCCUCCCCCCCUCUCUCUCUCUCUCUCUCUCUCUCUCUCUCUCUCUNNNNNNNNNNNNNNNNNNNNNNNNNNNNNNNNNNNNNNNNNNNNNNNNNNNNNNNNNNNNNNNNNNNNNNNNNNNNNNNNNNNNNNNNNNNNNNNNNNNNUUUUGUGGAGGCACCCUCUCUCUCUCUCUCUCUCUCUCUCUCUCUCUCUCUCUCUCUCUCUCUCUCUCUCUCUCUCUUUUUAGAUCCUAAAACUUCAUUCAUUCCUCUGAACAUCAAAUAAAAAUUUCAUCUUUCCAGAAAUUUCGUGGCUUUUUAUAUAAAAAAUCUUCGAUUCUCAUCAACAUUUCCCGAUUGAUCGUUUCUGGGUUAUUAUCAUAGGUUGUUUGGUCUUCGGGGGGGGGGGAGGUGAUUUAAUAGUUUCUGUUUCUGUGGUUUUUUUUGGAUCUUCCGAAUCGAUUAGUGUAUGGAAGGGUGUCUCUUGUUGAUACCCGUACGUACGAGAAGACGAUCUAUGUUGUUUCUUUUUUCUUUAGAUUUUUCGAGAUUAGAGGAGCUAGUUUUUGUUUUUUCUUCUUCAUUAGGAAAUGUCUGUUGCUGAUGUUGCUUUGAGCCCGAUUCAUACAGGAUCGGGGUUCGCUUUUCCUCACGGACCAUCCUCCACGCACCACUCUUUCAAAUCUGUUUUGGUCUUCCUCAGUGUUUCUGGUUCUACGAUGCCUAUGCUCAUCUUGGACUCUGAUUCCAUCGCCGAGGUUAAGCUUAGGAUCCAGACUUGUAAUGGUUUUAGGGUUAGAAGACAGAAACUUGUUUUUAGUGGUCGCGAGCUCGCCAGGAACGCCUCUCGCGUUAAGGACUAUGGUGUCACUGCUGGUAGUGUUCUCCAUUUGGUCCUUAAGCUCUAUGAUCCCUUGCUUGUCACUGUCCUUACCACUUGCGGCAAGCUCUUUCAGUUUCAUGUUGAUCGUCGUAGAAAUGUUGGGUAUUUGAAGAAACGGAUCUCUAGAGAGGGCAAAGGGUUUCCUGAGGUUGAUGAUCAGGAGAUCUUGUUUAAAGGGGAGAAGCUUGAUGACAACAUAAUCAUUGAUGGGAUUUGCAAAGAUGGCAACUCUGUUAUCCGUUUGCUGGUUAAAAAUUCGGUGAACGAAGCUUGUUAUCUUCCUGCUCCUCUGGAAGACACUGUGGAAAGAGAAGAAGACGCUGCUUCUGGUAAAGACUUCUUGUUAGAGCCUGUUGUUCUUAACCCCUCUGUGAAAUUACCCAAGGUUCUCGAGGAGAUGAUUGACCGCACGGUCGAUGGGUUGAACAAAGGUAAUCCACCGGUGAGAUCAGAUGAAGGAACGGGAGGGACGUAUCUAAUGCAGGAUUCUUCAGGUCUCAACUUUGUAUCUGUCUUCAAGCCCAUGGAUGAGGAACCAAUGGCUGUUAACAAUCCUCAGCAGCUUCCUGUGUCAUUAGACGGUCAGGGAUUGAAGAGAGGAACUAGAGUAGGACAAGGGGCAACUAGAGAAGUUGCAGCUUACUUAUUAGAUCAUCCAAAAAGCGGACCAAGAUCUGUGUCUAAAGAAGUUAUGGGCUUUGCCGGUGUGCCACCAACUGCUAUGGUCAGAAGCUCACACAAAGUGUAUAAUUACCCAAAGGGAUUUAACGGUUCUAUUACAAAGGAUGCCAAGGUUGGUUCAUUGCAAAUGUUCAUGAAGAACAAUGGAAGCUGUGAAGACAUUGGCCCUGGAGCUUUUCCUGUUGAGGAAGUGCAUAAAAUCUGUGCCUUUGAUAUAAGAAUGGCAAAUGCAGAUCGGCACGCUGGAAACAUAUUGACCGGGAAAAGUGAAGAAGGGAAAACUGUUCUUAUUCCCAUCGAUCAUGGCUAUUGUUUGCCCGAGAAUGUAAGGCUCUCUUCACAACUUUAUCAACAUUGACCCCUUCAGUAUAUAUCAAGAAGUAAAACUAACUAAUUUAUUGGAAUGGGGUUUGCAGUUUGAAGAUUGCACAUUUGAGUGGCUUUACUGGCCGCAAGCAAAACUCCCGUUUUCUGCAGACACUCUUGACUACAUAAACUCCCUAGACUCCGAACAAGACAUCGCCCUUCUGCAACACCAUGGCUGGAAUGUUCCUGAAGCCGUCUCGCGUACGCUACGAAUCUCCACAAUGCUGCUGAAGAAAGGCGUUGAGAGAAACCUAACACCGUAUCAAAUAGGAAGCAUAAUGUGCAGAGAAACGGUGAAUAAAGACUCAACGAUUGAAGAGAUAGUGAGAGAAGCUCAUAACUCGGUGUUGCCUGCGUCAAGUGAGGCUACAUUUCUUGAAGCAGUCUCUGUGGCCAUGGAUCGUCGUCUGGAUGAGCUAACUAAGUAACCUUUCUUUUAAGUACAUAAUGAAGUUGGUUUUACGGUAUGUAUGUAUGUAAUGUAUCUAUAAUGUUGAGAAAAACGUUGAUAGGCUCUUCUUGGAUAAUUUUUUUCUUCCAUGAACGAAGCCUCUAAGCUUUUGUGUGUUUUUUUUCUUUCCCUAAACCAUGAAUAAAUGUUGAUGUCUUUUUUGUUUGUACUUUGUAUUGUCAAACUCUGGUCUGUUAGUAUUUAAAGUUACCCUGGAAGAUACAACAAAGCAAGGAGGAACCUAUCUGCGGGCAAUUGUGUCAUUUUCUCUCUAGUGAUAUUAAUCUUUUGCAAGUUGGAUCCAACCGAAGUAAACAUAAAUUUGGCAGUGUGCUCUGAUUCAUGAAUCAUGUGUCUGACUUGUGUGAAUUUUCCUAGAUACUACUAUAGGUCUCCAAUAAAAGAGCAAAUCUCACUUAAAAUGGACACACUCGACAGUUUCACCCACUACGUGUGGAACAAAAAAAUAUCAUGUGUGACUUUGGAAUCUUGUUUUAUCUUUCUUAUUAAAAUAGUAAAUGACAAAAACAGUCUUGAUUAAUGCAAUAAGCUGAGUGGUGAAAUUUAAUCAACCAGUCUAUCUCACUUGUUAAAAUGAUCUCUCUAACCUAUAAUGUUUGAUGUUUCAUACAUCUUCCCAAAUUUAAGCUUUUGUGUUAUGGGUAGUGACUAUAAAUAAAAAUGGAAAUAUGUGAAUGAAGAAGUAAAAGGCUUUUUGAUGUUUUGCUUCAUUGGUUGUCCUAAAAAAGACAUAAUAAAUGCUCUCUCUCUCUCUUUUAGUUUGAAGUCUCUCUACUCUCUCUACUCUCUCUACUCCACUCUCUCUCACUCACUCACUCUCUGCUUCAACACUAUCCUCGUCUCCAAACACUCUCCGAUCUCGGCAAUGGCCAAGCCUCACGGUCGUCGCCGUUCUUCCGGCCGAACAAAUCUAGCUUCUUGCGCCGUCGCCACCGUGUUCUUGCUAAUCCUACUCGUCGUCCUCCUUGUAGUUUACUUCACAGUCUUCAAACCGAAAGACCCCAAGAUCUCCGUUAAUGCCGUCCAACUGCCGUCGUUCGCCGUCUCCAACAACACAGCUAACUUCACCUUCUCUCAGUACGUCGCCAUUAGAAACCCCAACCGUGCCGUAUUCUCUCAUUACGACAGCUCUAUCCAGCUUCUUUACUCGGGUAAUCAAGUCGGGUUUAUGUUCAUACCCGCUGGUAAAAUUGAUUCGGGUCGGAUUCAAUACAUGGCCGCUACUUUCACCGUUCAAUCUUUCCCCAUUUCUCCUCCUUCCUCCUCCGCCAUUUCCACCGUUUCCGCCGCCGUUGUUCCAGAUUCUCCGGUAAUGCCCGGUCCUCCGGAUUUCACAGUAACUCCGAGAAACCCAGAUGCGCCGUUUUUACCGGGAAACCCGGAAACACCUGAUUUACCGGGAAACCCAGAAACGCCGGAUAUUCCUGGAAAUCCGGGUCCUCCGAGUUUUCCGAGGAAUCCAGGCUCGCCGCAGUUUCCAGGGAACCCAGGAGCUCCGGUUUUACCGAGGAAUCCAGGCUCGCCGGAGUUUCCAGGAAAUCCUCCGAUAAUUCCAGGUGCUCCGGCGUUUCCGAGGAACCCGAACCCACCGGUGCUCCCAGGGAAUCCAGGGUCGGGUAACCCGAGAAAUAUGGGUCCUCCGGGUUUUCCAGGAACCGGAGCUCCACCGGGUUUUCCAGGAACCGGAGCUCCGCCGGGAGGAUUCGGCGGGGGAGGGACGGGGCCAACACUAGGAGAUGGAUACGCAAAUCCGGGUUUCGGGUACGCGAAUAGGGUCGGGCCAACGAUGGAGAUAGAGUCGAAGAUGGAGUUAGCGGGUCGGGUGAAAGUACUGCACGUGUUCACACAUCACGUGGUUGCUAAAUCGGAUUGUCGGGUCACCGUCUCUAUUGCCGAUGGUUCCGUCUUAGGCUUCCAUUGCUAAUUUUUAUUUCUUUUUUUCUUUUCGGUUUCUUAAAAUCGUAUUUCCUCCUUUUCCACUAAUUUUUUGUUGUUGCUCCUUUUAAGUUUGAGGAAAUUAAUUAGAAUUGUAAAAAUUAUUAUUUUUCUCCUAAAAAAAAGAGUAAUUUAGUUCAUAAUUUUUGCUAAUUGCUAUCCUUUGCAUGUAGUUUUAGUUAAUGGAUGAUCACGUUCUCUCCUUCGAUUGAGCUUCUGUAUUCCAUUUCCGAAAGGUUAGUUUUAUACUUUUAUAGAGUAAAGUGAUUCAUUGCAUAUGUUUGGAUCUAAAGAAAAGGUGUUAAAAUGUUUUAUCAAAGUAAAGAGAAUAUACCAAAACAAAGUGUAAUUUUUUUGAAUUUUGUUGUGUUUAUGUAUUUGAAAAUUUGAAUAGACCAUAUUGUUGAAUUUUGUAAUUUCAAGAAGUCAAACAAAGGAGAAAUAAAUAAAGAGAAAGUGAAGUCACAUCAUUGGAGAGAUCCCACUAUCCUUGAGAUUUGUGUAUUUUUCUUCAAUAUCCUUUUGUCCUUUUUUUCUUUGUAAUUUUCUUCAUUUCAAUAGUUACAGAGUUUUAACACUUUUCACUGAGAAGUUGAAAGUGAAGUUAUCUCUACUGCAGUUGUGUAAUUGGGUUUUUUUUUUUGCUCUGCUCAUUGUCAUAAAUGCGUAAGAACACUUUUAGUUUCAAUCCAUACAAUAAAAAAAUUCUUGAAAAUAGCAUACAAAAUCCAUUAAAAAUAAAAAUUGAAUUCAAUUCCUAUUUAAUACAAAUACUCAAAUAUAGAGUCCCAUGAAAGAUGAUUUCCUAAGAGAGAUGAUACAAAUCCAAUAAACAAAAGAAUCCACUUAAGUUAAACCUAUGCGUAUAUAUAGAUAUAAAAUUACAAAAGGAGAAAGCAGAGAUAUGAAUAGAGAGAAGUAAGUUCUCCCUCACUGUGUUUGUUUUGGCUUCAGAGCUAAAACCUGAGUAGUGUGCGUUGUUGUUGUAACAUAAGAUGAGAAAGCCCAAGGAGCACCCAAAAAUUAUAUAAGAAAAGAAUGGAGUGUUGUUGGAUAUAUAGCUUUUUGUUAAGUCGUGUCUGGUGAAGAACCGUAACCAAAGGGAUUGUUGCUUGCCCAGUUCCAUUGGUCCCUACACAUUUCUUCGAUUCCAAAAUUUGCCCUGUCCACAGAUUUUGAGUUUCUUCUGUCUUAGAAACUUUGCCAAAAAAAAAAAAAAUCCAUGAUAAAUAUAUACAUUCGUUGGAACUCUUUACUUACUUCCAGUUUAGUUCCCGUUCAGCUUUUUCUGUUGACGCAUAAACGGUUUCUGCAUCACCUGGUCUCCUUCCAACCUUCACUAGUGGGAUUUUCUGUACACAUUAUUUCAAACUAUCAAGUCACUGUGAUGUAAAGAGUAAUAAACACAUACUUGCGUGCGCACACUCUUAUAUGAUUUUGUGCGUAUAGCGACAGAGAAGUGAUCUUCUUACCAUUCCAGAAGCCUUUUCAAAUGCAUCAACCAUCUCCAACACCGUUGUUCCUUUUCCGGUUCCCAGGUUGUAUACCUCACAACCUAACACAACAGAGCCAAGUCAGACACCUGACCUUGUUUGUAUAUACAUAAGCAGGAGACAAUGAGGUAUUUAAGAAAAGAAGAAAAGCCUACCUAUUUCUGUAUUGUCUAGCUUCUGAAGUGCGCAUAUAUGGCCAUCUGCUAGAUCAACGACAUGAAUAUAAUCUCGUACCUGAAAUUGAAAAAGGCCUAGAAGAUCAAUACAACUCAUCACACCCAGAUUAAAGCAAGAUUAUUCCAUCACAAAGUAUUGGGUCAAGUUGAAGUCAACGACUGAGGAAGGAAAUUAAUUCUCAUGUAAUCAUUGAAGCAAGAAAAGUGAACCUAUCUAAAGAUCAUGGCACUUAAAGAGUUCUAGUGAUGACUCAAAUCGAUCUAAUGCCUCUCAUCUAGGAUAUGGAGCAACAAUUCCUUAGAUUCCAACCCAUGGACCAAAAGUAAAGAUUUACAUAAUUUAUGUGGAAGAGUGAUAAAAAGCAGGUCUAUGUGAGAACGAUGCAGGGAUACAAAGGACAGUAAAAAUGCAGGAUCCUUGUAUUAAGGAUGUGAAAGUCUUACACCGGUGCCAUCUUUAGUGGUAUAGUCGGUUCCAUAAAUUUUUAGGUUAGGCAGCCUCCCAACAACGACUUGCUGGACAUAAGGCAUGAGAUUAUUUGGAGUUCCACAAGGAUCUUCGCCAAUGCGACCACUAGGGUGAGCUCCCACAGGGUUAAAGUACCUCAACAUUAUGAUUCUCCACUCAGGAUCACCACGUUGUACAUCACGGCAAAUGUCCUCAAUGAACAGCUACACAAUGGGAAACAUUUCAGGAUAAAUACCAAUAAAGUCGACAAAAAAAGCUUUCAGCUUCAGCAUCGAAAACUACAAGUACCUUUGUCCGUCCAUAAGGACUCAUCCCAGACAGGGGAGACUCUUCUGUACAAGGGACCUCCUUUGGCCAGCCAUACACAGUAGCGGACGAAGAAAAAACAAGCUGAUUGAGAUCAAUGACAGAAGGUUAAAUCAUGUUUCACAUAUGUAAGGGAAACCAAAAAAAAAACUGUAAUACAGAACAGAAGAAGGGAUUACUUUUUUACAUCCGUGUGCAGCCAUUACUUCCAAAAGUGUAAUAGUCCCAAUCAAGUUAUUGUUAUAAUACAGAAGCGGUUUCGCCACGCUCUCGCCGACUGCUUUCAAUCCAGCAAAAUGCAUUACUGCAUCAAACCUACAUUUACAGACACAAAGAGGGAAUAAAUCACAUUUCUGGAGGAUUGGAAACAUGAAGCAUUUCAUUUAGAUCUGAUCUUAUCACAAAACAUACAAAGCUAAGCUCUCUGUUAUAAUAAUCACUCUUCCUAGGCUUUUUGGGAUCAACAUCUAUGAUCUUAAGGCUCUCUAUUAAGAAUCCGAAAUCAAAGUCAAAACACAUGAGAUUUAAGACUUGGAACAUUUGUAUGCCUGGGAAUGAGUAUAAUAGUAAGAAGAAAAUACUAAAAACUCACUUUGAUUCGGAGAAAACCUUCUCAAGUGCGGGUUUAUCGCGAAGGUCCACCUGCAGGUAUAAGAUACAUCAGCCAUCUAAAUUUGCCAAAUGAAAAACUCAGAUUGCUGGUAAUGUCAAGCACAAUUCGAUCCAGUAAUCGAGUACGACUACAAGACAUUUGAUCAACAUAACUCCCAAAUCAAGCAUUGUAAGCAAAUCGAGAUACACAAAAAAAAUAUCUCAAUUCAUGAUUUGCAGAAAUUCUCAGAAUGCAAUGGACCAAAGAGAAGAGCAGGGGAAAAGAUGGCCAGACCUGGUGGACGGUGAGAUUUUGACCAUGAUCUCCGGCGAGCUCCUUGACGCGUUGGAUCGAAACGAGAGAGGAAUUGUCGAGGUUGUCAAUGACAACGGUCCUGUAGCCGCCGAGAAGAAGCUGAAGAACCGUGUGGCUUCCGAUGUAACCAGCACCGCCGGAAACGAGAAUAUUCCCCACCAUCGAAGCUCCAAGAGGCGAUGAAGAGAGAGAGAAUCAAAAGAGAAGCUUCUCUGGAAAAUACUAAUAACUAACCUUCUUCUUUGUUUUGGGAAUAAAAAGAGGAGGGGAGAAGAGAAGACACGUGGCUUUUUCAUUUUUUUAAACCUUAUUAUUAUUAGUAAUUAAUACUUCAAUAAAUUAAAUGUCACAAUUCUCUGGAGAAAGUGUCACUUUUCGUGUUUAGAAACUACUAAUCAUUUAAUUAACAAAGGCUCUGCCAAGAGAUUUACAAAGGAACAUGAAACAAAGCAUACAAAAAAAAGAAAUUAUAUUGAAAGGAAAAAUUCUAAUUCCGGUGAUUAUUAAACUAGUAUAUUACAUGACAAAUGUAUCAGAAUUAAGUUAUAGCGACCGACAAAAAGAAAUUAACUUUUAGCGAUGCUCCAGAGUUUUUGACCUGUAACAGAUGAUCAUCAUUUCCAUUACUUAAAUCUUUUAAAUGCCAUUAUAAAUUCAUUCUUACAAUGCAAAAUCCCAAUGCAGCUCUGGAGAAAAGAAAAUGAUUCCUUACAAAUAUAAUUAAAAUGUAGUUAAAGGUGUUAUUGCCAGAACAUUCGUCCACAUUUUCAUAUCAUUGACGAAUCUACGUUGCAAUUUUCACAGCAGACAUUAUUAAUGUCAUGCAUAUGGCCGCCGAAAGAUAAUUGCUUUAUAUGAUGGAUGAUGUAUGAUGGUGAUAAUGUAGAAUGUAUGAUGAUGGUUAACUAACCCGGUUUGUUGACAGGUGUGUGUGUUUAAGGUUGAGAGCUGAGUAGUCUCUCGGCCUCGUCGUUUGCUUCAGCCUGAAUUUUCCAUUUCUGUAAUGCAAACAUUAAAACCAAAGUAACAUUAACCACACAAAGUUGUUGUAUGUAUUUAUGCUUGUGUUGUCCAAACUGAAACUGGAAACUAAACAACUAGUAUGUACCUCUUCAAGGUUUUCAAGUUCCAUGAUCUGCUCUAUCUGUUGAGCAAUGUUUUCCUGUGAAGCAAUGGAGUUAUACUCAGUCUCAGAUUCGACCACAUCAGGCUCAUAAGUAAAAGUACUCUUCGAAAUGACUCACAGUAUUGUUCACUGACUCAGCUGCAAGAACAUCAGUGUCCAUUUCCACCUCGAUCUCAAUCAUCGAAGAUAUCUAAACGUAAAAUAAAUCGAGCUGGAAAGAUUUAAACCAAGAAAUCAAAUGAGAUUUUUGAAUAAUACAGGAUAGUUUUGUUUCAAUUUCUUACUCUGGCGUAACUAUCGAUCAGCUCAAUCUUUCCCUUUAUGGAGUUCUCUAGACUUUCUCGUACCUUCUUUACUCUUGUUCUUCGAGUACUAUAUUCAAGUAAGAUUCACAUGUUAUGAUAGAUCUCAUUGUGUUAAACCAUUUCCCAGAUGAUGGGGGUUCAAAUUAUCUGAGAGGGUCAUACCGGUAAGCUGGCUCUCCCACAGCUAAAAUUUUGUUCUCAAGCUGAGACAUUCGAGCCAACAUCCACACCUAAAUAGACACUAGGAAGUUUCAGUAGUGUUUUUGAUUAUAUAUUGCUAGCUUCAAAACGUAUGGAUAAAUGAGACUAGAUACCUCUUUCUCAACUGCUUCUUUUAGAUCUCUAAUGCGACGCUGUAGCACAUCAUACUGAGAUAAAAGUUGCUGUUUGAUACCGACCACAUCCACUGUCCGUUCAGGGAGCUGAAACCGUGUAAAGGAUUAUGAAAUUCAUAUCCAAUAGACUAAGACAUGUUCACUUAGCACAGUUCACAUGAUAGAGAAUAUAUACCUGAUUUAGCUGAGGAAGGACAAAUGAGUUUACUGUUGCUCCAAUUGCUAGUGAUGCAACAGCAGCAACUGAGAGUAAUUGAGGCAAACUGGGAUCAAUAAUACCAGAAGCAGCAUCUCCAGUAGCCAAAACAGCAAGAAGGGUUAUUAGAAACGAUGGUUGCAAGAUCUUAUCUCCAUCUUUACUAGGAGGCCUUAGCAAGAGCGAUUCUCGCCCAUCCUUGUGCUUUGUGAGGCUCAUAGGUUCUCCAGGGUAAAAGUUUGGAGCUUUGGGGCUAAAUUUGAAAGGUCCCACUUGUCUGUAAACAUUAGAAGGAGCAGCAGAUGCAAUUGUCACUCUUUCUCCUUCUUGCGCAGGGAGUUCGGCUGUCUCAGUGGCAAACCGGUGCGUUCGGGCUGUACCAGAAGGAGUUUUUACCUGAAAUCCAAUGCAACGGUUACUAUGUCUGCUAUACCACAAUUAAAAUAUUUUGAAAAAUGAAAAUGUGUUAACAAUGGCGAUUACCACAAUAGAGUGCACCGAAGAUGUGAUUUUGUUCUUCUUUAUCUGGAUUAGUCUGAGCCCUUUUUCCCAGAGCGGAAUGUCCUUGCUGCGUUCGGCAGAUGUAGCUCCUUAGAGAAAGUGAAUAUCCAAGCAUCAACACCACACACGUCUCAAUUUGUUUUGCAGGUCAAAUUAACAAACAAAAACCGCUCUCACACCCAACAAAAGCUGUAUCAACUUUUCCCUAGAGCUAGGCAACAAAGCAGAGGAAUACUAAAGAGUACUAACCCGAGCUCUUCUGAUUCAAUGCUGGUUAUGUCACCAGAGAAAAGCUCGUAUUGGUAACGGCAAUUAGCACAAGAUGAAAUCUAAAAAGACAUAGACAGCAAAUCAACCAGCUAUUCUGAAAAAAGAUAUACUGAGCAAAGACAAACAAUUAGAUUGGCCAUUACCUGAACUCCAUGCUGGGGUUGUGCAACAGCAAUGGCAAUCAAACAGGUGGGACAUCUCACAAUUUUACCAAAGGGAACCUAAGAUCAAUAGCAAUGUAUUUCAAUAUCAUGCUUAUAAACAUAGCCAGACCAUUUACAUGAACUGUUAACAUUCUAGGAUAGUAAAUAAGUUCAAGGUGUUAGUUACCUCCUCAGCAGGAGAGAUUCCAACACGGCAAAUAUCUCUGAUGAUCCUCAGAGAAUCAGAAACCCUCAAGGAAGCAGCAAGACUAUUAACCAGCAUCGUGUAGACUUCAACAUCAGGCCUUGACCAUCUCCAUCUAUCAAUUUCACUUCCACCUGUGAAACACACACAAUCAAUCCUACAUUUGCUUCAACAAUCACAGAAACUCCUACUCUGUGUGAAUAGUAAAGUUGAGAUGAGCGAACCUAAAUCGAAACUCGCUCGCAUGGCGUAGAAGAUUGACAACGCAAGAUCAACAUUGCCGCGACUGACCGCGGCGGAGAUAAUCGAACGGCAAUCUUCAAGUUCAACGACUCCACCGCUAUUGGACCCGAAUCGUUCAGAAAUCAGCUCGAGCGCUUCAUCCGCAUCUCUAACAGCUGAUACGCUGCUUAGAAGCUCGUCGUCGAGAAUAGACGACGAAACAUCGGAUGCGGCUGAGCUGACACUGUCUCUGCUCCGGUCUCCAUAGGAUGAGAAUAAAAUCGUCCGCCGUAUACGACUGAAAGUCGCCGGUUUGAAGAAGAUAGAGCGAAGAAGAGGAUGAGUAUCGUGGAGGUUAGGGAUGCGAUUGGUUCCGGAGAAUACGGAGGAAACGACACGAAGACUCAUUGAUUAAAAUCGGAAGAGAAAGUCACCGGCGAAGAAGACGGAGGAGCAUCGGUGGGGGUGGCUCUCGGAGAUGAGAAACGAGAGGCUAAGAAAGAGGGAAGAAAAGAAACCAAACGGUCUUUAAUGAUCAUUUUUUCUUUCUUCUAUCUAUUGCUUCGUUUGAUCUUCUGCCGUUGAUUUUUCGAAACAUGACAAAGAAAAAAACAAUCCGACGGCUGAGGUUGAGAGAUACAUUAUUAAGUUACACAAAACUAAAAAUUGAAGAAUAAUGGAGGUGCGGGGAAUCGAACCCCGUGCCUCUCGCAUGCGAAGCGAGCGCUCUACCAUAUGAGCUACACCCCCAAACCAUGUCAAUUAACAAGUUUUUGAAGAUAUAUUUAUAAUUUUGAAAAUAAAAAUCACGUCCUCUUAGCUUUUUCAAAACGGUAGUAACAGAAAUGUGAGACACCAUUUCAGUAGAGAGCUAAGCAACAAAGCAACCACGGCGGCAGGAAUGGUCGAUACAUAGAAUUAGCUUCUUUUUUUUUAAAUGAUGGGAGACUUCCUCUUCUCCAAAUUAAAUGGUUGCCAGAACGAGAUUAAAUAGUGUAUUCUUAUUUACUAGAGCGAAAUUGCGGUAGAAACAACCAUGGCAGAAAUUGAUUAUUAACAGAAGGUGUGGGAGAAGAGCCAAUGGGAUUCUCUAGCUAUGAAAAAAAUCACAACAGAUUAGAAAAAUGUAAGAGCACGAUACACUCCAUUUGGAGGGAGAUAUAUAUAUGAUAGACGCUAUGGAGAAGAACCGGGAAAAGAGUGUUAUUCCCGACCCGUACAAUUUUUAAAAAUGUGAAUUUGUACAUGUACAAAGAUCCAAUGACAAUUUCUACCCAAACUCACUAAAUUAAAUUCACAUUUUAUACCUAGUUAGUAUAACUUCUGCCAAUUUCAGACACUGAUAUUGAUUUGGAUGAGAUAAAAAUUACUAAUUGUGAUAUCUAUAUUUUUCAUUUUUUUUUUAUGUUUGUGGAAUUUAUUUAUAUAUAAAAAGUUGUAUUUUUGAAUAAUAAAUUUAUUGUAAUAUUCUUUUAUAUAUUUAAGUUGUGAUAUAUUUCGAGGAAUUCAUCUAUAUAUACGUAACCUUAACAAGUGCUUAAGUUAUUGAUAAUAUUUGUUUAAUUUCUCAGUAAUGGGAACGAUGGCACCUCCACCGUUCGACGAGAGGCGUGAGCAUAUACUAGAUGUUGCAAGCUCUUUGAUGAUCGUGGUCCUUAUUUUAAUGAGCAUUUUGGCAUGCAUGUGUCUGUUGGUUUUGGAAUGGUUGAGUAAUGGUUAUUUUAAUAAGGAAUACAAACGCGUCUUCGAUAUCGAACUCGGGACGUUGCCUGCCGGGGAGAUGAUCCAGGAAACAUCCGAUGGAGACAGCCAAUAAGACAGAGAGACAGAGAGAUUAUUUAUUGUUACGUACGAUCGAGUUGGACAUUAGUUCUACGUACGGGUUUUACUUGUAGUCAUCAUCCAUCGAUCCAUCGACUUAAUUAUAUAUGUAAUGCAACUCCUUUUUUCAACUCCUUUUUUUUUAUGAUCAACUUGUGUUCGACUUGAGGUGAUCGAUCGAUGUUGAGUUCAUUAUACAAUUAAAUAUUUAUCUUCAAAUUAUUAUCGCACAAAAUACUAAAAUUUAAUAUAUAAAAAAUAAAACAAUUAAAAUUAGUUACACUAAUCCGCCGGAGAUCUAGCUAGGUGGUACGUACGUACUUAUCCAAUACUUAACUAACUUUUCCUAAUCUAUAUGUAACUCAAAUUAAUGUAAAAAUAUAAGAGAAAAGAAAAAGAAAAAAACAUCUAGCUCUCCCUCUGACUCUCUCUAUAUAUAUAUGUAUCGUUUGUGUAUUUUACAAAGACGUUGACAAUUUAUCGUCUCGUAUUCAUUUAAUCAGGAAUAAUCAUCGACAAGUCCUCUGGGCCAACACCAUGAACAUGGAUGCAUCACGAUAUGAAGAAACAGUAAUAGUUUUGUUCAGGAUAAUGGUGGUGAUGUCCGUGAUUGUUAUCCUUUUCGGCUCGUGUCUUUGUGUUAUAUCUUGCUGGCGACUCUGUACUCAUGACGAUGAUGAAGAUUUUGUGCACCUUACUUAAUUAUGGAGCUUGAAUUAUAUACAUGAUCAAGACAAAGCACCAAGUUUGCGAUCAAGAUCUCUAUCAAUUAUCUUCCAUAGUCAAUAGUCAUCAUUUUUUUUUCCCUUAAAUUAUUCUUAUGGAUUUGCUUCAUUAUUAAUUACUCGUAAUCUUUCUCUAAUUAUCUUUCUGAAUUGAAGGCCUAUCACAGAUUUACCACAAAGAUAUUGUGGUUACGUAUCUUUUGUUUCGGAGACAACACUUAUCUUCAGAAACGAUUAAUUAUCCUAUACAUAAGAAAAUAAAUAUUUUUACAAUUAAAU
rnacentral:lncRNA from 1 species